UCACUCCCGGCAUGCGGUUUUCACGUUGAUCUGAGAGCUAAUCGAUAUGUUUCUGAGAUCAUAGUGAAAGCUACUUGCCGAAGUGAU
rfam:Pristionchus pacificus strain PS312 contig7065, whole genome shotgun sequence.